GUGACAUUGUAUGCCUCCCUAGAGAGGCAUCACCAGCCCAAGGAUCGCCAGUGGUACCAAUCCUCGGAACGUUGCUGGCAAUAUCAAUCAUUGCAAAUAUAGCUAUCGUAUAUUUUACAAGGCUGCAACGGCGACGACAGCAGGGGAAAACAGUUGUUGGCGAUAAUGUUUAUGAAGUUCCUGAAUCAGUGUAUGAUCAGUUGGACCCUACUACGAGACAGCCUGCCAAUAUAUAUGAGACGACUACUGGAAUAUAGUGUACUUAUGCUGUACACGAUCAAGGAUAACGGAUCGAUAGACUGUAGGACCCACAAAACAAAGGAUGGGGCGUUUUACUGUCCGCCCAAAUGACAACACACAGGUGUGACGGUGGGGUACCCGUAAAGUGCGAAACGAAAGCAAAACGAAACGAAACGAUAUCAAACGAAACAAAAAAUGGAAACAUUGAA